rnacentral:rRNA from 1 species
AUUGAACGCUGGCGGCAGGCCUAACACAUGCAAGUCGAACGGUAACAGGAAGAAGCUUGCUUCUUUGCUGACGAGUGGCGGACGGGUGAGUAAUGUCUGGGAAACUGCCUGAUGGAGGGGGAUAACUACUGGAAACGGUAGCUAAUACCGCAUAACGUCGCAAGACCAAAAAGGGUGACCUUCGGGCCUCUUGCCAUCGGAUGUGCCCAGAUGGGAUUAGCUAGUAGGUGGGGUAACGGCUCACCUAGGCGACGAUCCCUAGCUGGUCUGAGAGGAUGACCAGCCACACUGGAACUGAGACACGGUUCAGACUCCUACGGGAGGCAGCAGUGGGGAAUAUUGCACAAUGGGCGCAAGCCUGAUGCAGCCAUGCCGCGUGUAUGAAGAAGGCCUUCGGGUUGUAAAGUACUUUCAGCGGGGAGGAAGGGAGUAAAGUUAAUACCUUUGCUCAUUGACGUUACCCGCAGAAGAAGCACCGGCUAACUCCGUG